AGAUUAAUUUCUAAGUGAGAUAAAAUUUCUUUGAAAUUAUUAAAUAAAAUUAAUUGAUGGUAAUAAGACAAAUGACUGUGUGAUUGGUCGUUUUACUUAUUCCAGAAGAAACCUCCCAGCAUAAACCCAUAUAGGAGGAUUUGAAUAUGGAGAAUGACUAGUUGCUUAAGCAUUCACGUUAGGGUCACACAAUCAAUUACCUCCUGAAUGUAUCGUCUCUAUUUCCAAUAUCUGAACACACAAGGAAACUAUAAUCUCAUCCUUCACCUUAUCGGUCUCUUCUUUACAGCAAUCCAGUCAUACCAAUAACUGCUAUUUCCACCAAUAUAUUCACCCUCAUAAUCUCCAACUGUAAUA
rnacentral:lncRNA from 1 species